GUCUCGUCUCGCGAGAAGACGCCGUGCCCCCGCAAAAAAAUGGAGGUCGGAGGAAACGGCGGUGCGCUAGUUGUAAACAAUAAACAGAGAGCUAUGCUGCCAAAUAAGAGUAGGGGGGAAUUUACACGCAACCAGAGAAAGGAUUCAGAGGGCUUGUCUGAGUCUCCAGACCUUGAGUUUGAAUAUGCUGAUACAGAUAAAUGGGCUGCAGAGCUGUCAGAGCUGUACAGUUAUACUGAAGGGCCAGAGUUCUCCCUCAAUAGAAAAUGUUUUGAGGAGGAAUUCAGAACACAUGUGUGUGAUAAGAAGUGGACAGAGCUUGAUGCACCUCAUCACAGGGCCCAUGCCAUGCGGAUGCUGGAUGGACUGGAGGUGACUGCUCGCGAGAAAAGGUUAAAGGUUGCGAGAGCCAUUCUGUACAUGGUGCAAGGAACCUUUGGCGAGUGUAGCUCUGAGGCCGAAGUGCAGCAUUGGAUGAGAUACAACACCUUCCUGCUGCUGGAAGCUGGAACUUUUUCUGCUCUGGUGGAACUGCUCAACAUGGAAAUUGAUAACAGUGCCGCCUGUAGCAGUGCUGUCAGAAAACCUGCCAUCUCUCUCGCUGAUAGCACAGAUCUCAGGGUGCUGCUCAACAUCAUGUACCUGAUGGUAGAAACCAUCCAGCAGGACGACCCAGCUGACAUGGCCGAAUGGAGAGUUAUCAGGGAAACCUUUCGAGCGGAACUGGGCUCUCCUCUAUACAACAACGAGCCUAUCGCAGUCAUGCUCUUCGGGAUGGUUACCAAGUUCUGCAGUGGCCAUGCGCCUCACUUCCCUAUGAAGAAAGUGUUGCUGCUGUUGUGGAAGAGCAUACUGUUCACACUUGGAGGGUUCGAGCAGCUCCAAACCAUAAAGGUCCAUAAGCGUGAGAAGCUGGGUCUUCCCCCUCUGCCAGAAGACAGUAUUCGGGUUGUACGCAGUAUGAGGGCCGCUUCCCCUCCCGCCUCCGCCUCUGAUCUCAUAGAGCAGCAGCAAAAACGGGCGCGGCGUGAACACAAGGCACUGAUUAAACAGGACAAUCUUGAUGCAUUCAACGAAAAGGACCCUUACAAGACCGAUGAUCCCCGAGAGGAUGAGGACGACAACGACGACAAUGACAACUCAAUCGAGGCCGAGACUUUCCCCUUGGAAAGGGACGAGGUGAUGCCUCCACCUAUUCCUCAUCCUCCAUCAGAGAGGGUGUCCUUCCCCAAAGGGUUGCCGUGGGCCCCCAAAGUCAGGGAGAAGGACAUUGAAAAUUUCCUGGAGUCAAGUAGAAGCAAAUUUAUAGGUUACACACUUGGAUGUGACACAGACACGGUUGUUGGCCUACCUAGGCCUAUUCAUGAGAGCAUCAAGACACUAAAGCAGCAUAAAUACGUCUCGAUAGCCGAGAUUCAGAUCGCAAGAGAGGAAGAGUUUCAGAAAACCCCUCUAUCAGGGGGAGAAGAAGAAGUGGAGAUGUGUGCCACUGAGCUGCUCUAUCAGGGAAUCCUACCCACAUUACCUCAGUACAUGAUUGCUCUGUUAAAGAUUCUUCUUGCGGCAGCUCCGACCUCCAAAGCCAAAACAGAUUCAAUCAACAUCCUGGCAGAUGUGCUGCCGGAAGAGAUGCCGACCACUGUGUUACAGAGCAUGAAACUCGGUGUUGACGUCAAUCGACACAAAGAGAUCAUCGUGAAGGCCAUCUCAGCCAUCCUGCUGCUGCUCCUCAAACACUUCAAACUUAACCACAUCUACCAGUUUGAGUACAUGGCUCAACACCUGGUGUUUGCCAACUGCAUCCCCCUCAUUUUGAAGUUCUUCAAUCAGAACAUAAUGUCUUACAUCACUGCUAAGAACAGCAUCUCAGUGCUGGAUUUUCCAUACUGCGUGGUGCACGAGCUUCCUGAAUUAACAGCAGAGAGUUUGGAAGCGGGAGACAACAACCAGUUUUGCUGGCGAAACCUGUUUUCCUGCAUUAACCUGCUGAGAAUCCUCAAUAAACUGACCAAGUGGAAGCACUCCAGAACGAUGAUGCUGGUAGUGUUCAAGUCCGCUCCAAUCCUGAAGAGGGCGCUAAAGGUGAAACAAGCCAUGAUGCAGCUUUACGUCCUCAAGCUUCUCAAAGUGCAGACCAAAUAUCUUGGGCGUCAGUGGCGGAAGAGCAACAUGAAGACGAUGUCGGCCAUUUACCAGAAGGUCCGACAUCGGCUCAAUGACGACUGGGCUUACGGAAACGAUCUGGAUGCCCGUCCCUGGGAUUUUCAGGCCGAGGAGUGUGCCCUGCGUGCCAACAUCGAACGCUUUAACAGUCGCCGCUAUGACAAGAAUCAGAGCAACCCGGACUUCCUCCCGGUGGACAACUGCCUGCAAAGCGUCCUGGGGCAGCGGGUUGACCUGCCCGAAGACUUCCAAAUGAACUACGACCUCUGGCUGGAACGAGAGGUCUUCUCCAAACCCAUUUCAUGGGAGGAGCUGCUGCAGUGAGAAAUGGUCAACAUCCUUGAUCUUUUAUCGAGGAUCAGACUCUUUUUGAGUGUGGCGUUCAGGAAAUGCAAGUGAGCACCCCUGUCUCUGGUCACAAGACUGCAGGAGAUCUUCAGCGUUUGCAAACAGCGGUCCAUACAUUGGCUGAGCAAUCACCCUCCAUCCCACCCCAACCUCAAGCGUCUCUUGAAUUUAUCUGAGCCACUCCAUACCUAAAGUCCUGCCCAGUGCCUCGGAUCAGCUGACCAACUGCUUCUGGAGAUCAAUAUGAGCUCACCCUGGACAUCAUCCCAGCCCACGAAUACCUGGUCCUGUCCAAAAAUGUCAAAGGAGGUGUGGCUGUGUCCUCACAAAUUGAAGAAAGCAAGAAGUUUCUCUCUUGCUGACCAGAAAACAAACUUUCUUUGUACAGUUGUGUUCAUAAUACAAUCAUCAUCACUGAGGGGAAUGGAAGGAGAUGUGCUCAGAAAGACCCUGCUGCGCGCGCACACACACACACACACAAACUGGAGCAUAUGUAAGUCAAGGAUAUCAAUUUAGCUGUAUGUAUCAAUUUCCCCUUAGCCACAUUUAUUCUGCAGUUUUGUUAUUACAUGUGCACAGACCUCUAUAAAGACAACAUAAAACAUAGUACAGUAACAGUUUGGAUCUCCUUGUGUAUUCCUAACAUUCUACGAUGCCACACUUUUAUGAUAUGCGAUAGACGGUGAUAUGAUAUGUCUCCCAUUCUGAAAAAAUGUUUACAUGUCAGUAUUCACAUUAUUGCAAGAAUGUUUGCGAUCUGUCUUUUCCACACUUGCAAAGCGUAGAGUAAAAUAAGAUGUAAAAUAAUUUUAUUUUCGCCACACAAAUGUGCCCCGUGAGACUAUCUUCACUGUAACCACACAAUGGAACAUAAACAAUGGAUGGCACAAGUAAAUACAAUCUUUGCCUUUCUUGGAUUUUUCUCUCGACGGAAAAGGUCAAGUUAGGUCUGAGCGCGACGGACAUCACUUCCACCAGCCAACAACAUCGACACAAAAUACAAAAUAGUUUUUAAAUGUACAAUUAAGAUGAAAAUAUAUAUCGCCUACGAUAUUAAUUGAUCACAUCUAUAUAUGCCACAAAUAUACAGUAAUAUAAAUAUAAUCCUUUCAAUAAUAGCACAGCUUUGAUUAAAUAUGAGUUAAGAAAAUAAAAAUAUCUGUAACAGAAGCUUAAAUGUGGUUGUUUACAAUCAUCAACGAUGCACAAGCAGUGUGUACAGAAAUCAAACAGCCAUCUUUGCCAUUCAAGCUUGACAUGUUUGUGCUAUUUUGUGACAAAUGUAAUACGUUUGCAACAGAUUGGAGUUGUCGCUUGAAGUGUUGAUAUUUGUUGUGCAUUGAAUAGGUUUUAGUUGACAUUGGGUAUAAUUUGUGUUGCGGGAACUGCCUUGGUGUGUCUGCACCGAGCAUUGAUUGUGCGUGUUUUGUAUACACAGUGCUGCAACCACAGGUCAGCGAUUACGCUCAAUAAUUUAUUGUGCCUCAUAGUUGAAUUAGAAAGCAAAAAUCGGUGCUUUGAGAGCCUCAUCUGUGCAUUUUCGUGCAGUUAACUGGAAAAUCUUGAGUGCUUUUGUAGCGCACUUUAAACAUUCACAUUUCAAGUGUUUUGCUGUGUGCUUGUAAUUCUUUGGUGUGUAAAAUGGAAUUAAUGAAUUCUUACGAUGAUGCAGUUUAGUGGAUGGGAUGAUAA